GAUGAACGCUAGCGGCAGGCCUAACACAUGCAAGUCGAGGGGUAACUAGAGUGAUAGCAAUAUUACUUUGGCUAGACCGGCGCACGGGCGCGUAACACGUAUGCAACCUACCUUAUACUGGGGAAUAACUUCGAGAAAUCGGCGCUAAUACCCCAUAACAUUGCGAAGAGGCAUCUCUUUGCAAUUAAAGCUCCGGCGGUAUAAGAUGGGCAUGCGUCCAAUUAGCUAGUUGGUGAGGUAACGGCUCACCAAGGCUACGAUUGGUAGGGGUUCUGAGAGGAUGAUCCCCCACACUGGUACUGGGACACGGACCAGACUCCUACGGGAGGCAGCAGUGAGGAAUAUUGCGCAAUGGACGAAAGUCUGACGCAGCCAUGCCGCGUGCAGGAUGACGGCCCUAUGGGUUGUAAACUGCUUUUGUACGGGAAUAAACCCUUCUACGUGUAGGAGGCUGAAGGUACCGUAAGAAUAAGCACCGGCUAACUCCGUGCCAGCCGCCGGGUAA
rnacentral:rRNA from 1 species